UACUUCAACUACAAAAGCACCA
rnacentral:tRNA from 1 species